ACAAAUAAACAAAAGCUCUUAUUUAUGGCACAUUAAAGCGAAGACUUCCAAAAUUUGUAAAUUAAAAGCGAGUAGUUUCUGUUGUGGGUAAUUUGGCGCCAAGCUGUAUAUUCACGCGCUAAAUAUAACGCUGAAUAAAAGCUGAUUUACUCAAUAAAUGCUGUCUAACAGUGUUUUUAGAACUAUAGAAUUAAUACAUGCUAAUGUCUUACCUUUAAAUAGUUGAAUUUGUUGACUGUGUGUGCUAUAAUCAAAAGCUGUAGUUUCUCUGCUCCUGAAACCGACUUCCUCCGCCGUCAAACUAGCGCCAAAUGUGAUGUUGUGAACUCCUUCUCGGAUCAGCUGGUGCGUUGGUAUGUGACGUACAUCCUACAACAACCGCAUUUCAUUGGCUCUCGAAGGUCCUCUUGUUUUAGGAACCAAUAGGAUUCCUAUUAGUCCCUUCCCCCCCAGUGGUUUGACUGUAAAGGCGGGUGUCGCUUUGUUGGCGUUUGGCGGAAAAAUUUUCCCGGUAAAUAUGAAGAUUAUGUUUUGGACAGCGGGGUUUUAAAUGGUGUAAAAACCGAAGCUUUCAACCAGAUAAAGUGCUGGAGGGUCCAAAAAAUAUUUCAAAUCUCAUCUGGGAAAUAUAACUCGAUGCAUCUUGCGGCAGAACACAUACAUUGCAACAAGGCAUUAUGGGAUUGACAUGGUUGCAGAACAGAAAUGGCUCAGGAAGAGGUUUGCAUUCUUCAAGGAUGGAGAAUAUAAAACAACACCUACAUAAAAAUAUACAUCUCCUAUUUUAUUUGUAUUGUUGUUUUUUCGAAUAUGAAUAUGUGCCUGUUAUUAUUUCUGUGCCAACAGCGCCCCCAGCUGGACAGAGUAUGGUCAUAUCAAGUCAAAUCUAAAACUUAAGACCGCUUAAAAUGUAUAAAUUGUUUUUUAAAUAGAG
rnacentral:lncRNA from 1 species